rnacentral:rRNA from 1 species
AGCAGAGCACUCCUACGGGAGGGCAGCAGUGGGAAUAUGACAAGUGGGGGAACCCUGAUCCAGCCAUGCCGCGUGUGUGAAGAAGGCCUUAUGGUUGUAAAGCACUUUAAGCGAGGAGGAGGCUACUGAGACUAAUACUCUUGGAUAGUGGACGUUACUCGCAGAAUAAGCACCGGCUAACUCUGUGCCAGCAGCCGCGGUAAUACAGAGGGUGCGAGCGGUUAAUCGGAUUUACUGGGCGUAAAGCGAUGCGUAGGCGGCCAUUAAGUCAGAAUGUGAAAUCCCCGAGCUUAACUUGGGAAUUGCAUUCGAUACUGGAUGGCUAGAGUAUGGGAGAGGAUGGUAGAAUUCCAGGUGUAGCGGUGAAAUGCGUAGAGAUCUGGAGGAAUACCGAUGGCGAAGGCAGCCAUCUGGCCUAAUACUGACGCUGAGGUACGAAAGCAUGGGGAGCAAACAGGAUUAGAUACCCUGGUAG